AAAGUGCUUCCCGUUCGGAUGA
rnacentral:miRNA from 1 species